AGCUUUGCGCAGUGGCAGUAUCGUAGCCAAUGAGGUUUAUCCGAGGCGCGAUUAUUGCUAAUAGAAAUUCCUCUAAAAAUUGGUUUUAUGAUAAGAAGCAUUAUUCUUAUUGGUGGCCGUACUGGAAAUGUCAGGGAUG